rnacentral:lncRNA from 1 species
UUGGUUCAUACCUGUUUACUCUUGGGUUCAUAUUUCACCCCUUGUUGGAAUUCAAACAACAUUAUUCUUUAGUUCAGACCAUAAUUUGAUCACAUUUAUUUUCACCUCCCACCUCUAGUUCCUUGAACUACGAAGCUCUGAAUUCCUCAUUGCACUAUGAGGAUACGUAGGCAUGAGGGCCCUAAUCCUCACCGAGCACUC